UUCGUACUCCCUCCGUCCGGAAAUACUUGUCAUCAAAAUGGAUAAAAAGAGGUGUAUCUAGAACUAAAAUACAUCUAGAUACAUCCCUUUUUAUUCAUCUUGAUGACAAGUAUUUCCGGACGGAGGGAGUAGCAG
rnacentral:pre_miRNA from 1 species